UACGGAGGGUGCAAGCGUUAUCCGGAUUCACUGGGUUUAAAGGGUGCGUAGGCGGGCAGGUAAGUCAGUGGUGAAAUCUCCGGGCUUAACCCGGAAACUGCCGUUGAUACUAUCUGUCUUGAAUAUCGUGGAGGUAAGCGGAAUAUGUCAUGUAGCGGUGAAAUGCUUAGAUAUGACAUAGAACACCCAUUGCGAAGGCAGCUUACUACACGAUCAUUGACGCUGAGGCACGAAAAGCGUGGGGGAGCAAAACAGG
rnacentral:rRNA from 1 species